UGACAGUUCUACCCUCUGCUUAAACGGC
rnacentral:piRNA from 1 species